rnacentral:rRNA from 1 species
CAUGCAUGUCUUAGAAGUAUAAUAGGAGGCGAUCCAUAAAUCUGCGAACGGCUCCGUAUAUCUGUUAUCACCCACGGCCACUAAAAAGAUCUCGGAUACCCACGGUAAUUCUGAGGCUAAUACGUAUACGUAGCUUGGGCCUCCAGGACAGGGCGCCCUCCGCAAGGGGGGCGCCUGGGCUAGUCGCUUGUUGCCGGGGGGUCCCGCAAGGGGUCCGCUGUCAUGAUGGCAGGCUAGUGCACCACACUGCGGGGGCGAUAUGUCCCGUAGGGUGCGCCAAGGGAGCCAGCCCUAUUAACUAGGUGUCCGGGUAAGGCCCGGCCGCGGUGAUAACGGGUACAGAGGAUCAGGGUUCGGUCCUGGAGAGGAAGCCUGAGAGAUCGCUUCUACUUCUAAGGAAGGCAGCAGGCGCGCAAUGUUCCCAAUGGGGAUACCCUGAGGACGUGAGGGGAUAUAGCAAUGCCCCGCCCAUAAAGCGGGGCAAUUGCAAUGGGGGUCCACUAAACCCUCCACCGAGUAACAAUUGGAG